rnacentral:piRNA from 1 species
UUACCCUUGACUGCUCAUAUC